GAAAAGGGCUGCUGUCUUGGUGGCACAGGUAGGGGACUUGUUUGCUCUGCAUGCAGAAUCGACUUCAAGAGAUUUCAAAAGCCUAAUUUUUGGUACCUGGACAGCUGAUGAUCAUUGGUACCAAAAACAAACAAAGAAAAAUCCAGUCGGUGACUACUUAAAUGCUACAGCUUUCUA